rnacentral:rRNA from 1 species
CCUACGGGAGGCAGCAGUGGGGAAUAUUGCACAAUGGGCGCAAGCCUGAUGCAGCCAUGCCGCGUGUGUGAAGAAGGCCUUCGGGUUGUAAAGCACUUUCAGCGGGGAGGAAGGCGUUAAGGUUAAUAACCUUGGCGAUUGACGUUACCCGCAGAAGAAGCACCGGCUAACUCCGUGCCAGCAGCCGCGGUAAUACGGAGGGUGCAAGCGUUAAUCGGAAUUACUGGGCGUAAAGCGCACGCAGGCGGUCUGUCAAGUCGGAUGUGAAAUCCCCGGGCUCAACCUGGGAACUGCAUUCGAAACUGGCAGGCUAGAGUCUUGUAGAGGGGGGUAGAAUUCCAGGUGUAGCGGUGAAAUGCGUAGAGAUCUGGAGGAAUACCGGUGGCGAAGGCGGCCCCCUGGACAAAGACUGACGCUCAGGUGCGAAAGCGUGGGGAGCAAACAGGAUUCGAUACCCUGGUAGUC